rnacentral:tRNA from 1 species
CAGAAGAUAGUUUAUUAAAAUACCGGCUUUGGGGGCUGGUGAUGGGGGUCAUUCCCUCUCUUUUGA